GCCGAGAUAGCUCAGUGGUAGAGCAAUUGUUUUGUAAACAAUAGGCCGUGGGUCCAAGUCCCACUCUCGGCU
rnacentral:tRNA from 1 species